rnacentral:sRNA from 12 species
AGGGAAGACAGGUUGGCCCCUACUGAAGACCAAUCUUAAUGUUAAAAAGGACUUAUCAUCAUG